rnacentral:rRNA from 1 species
CAAGUCGAACGGGAAUCUUCGGAUUCUAGUGGCGGACGGGUGAGUAACGCGUAAGAAUCUAACUUCAGGACGGGGACAACAGUUGGAAACGACUGCUAAUACCCGAUAUGCCGCGAGGUGAAACCUAAUUGGCCUGAAGAAGAGCUUGCGUCUGAUUAGCUAGUUGGUGGGGUAAGAGCCUACCAAGGCGACGAUCAGUAGCUGGUCUGAGAGGAUGAGCAGCCACACUGGGACUGAGACACGGCCCAGACUCCUACGGGAGGCAGCAGUGGGGAAUUUUCCGCAAUGGGCGAAAGCCUGACGGAGCAACGCCGCGUGAGGGAGGAAGGUCUUUGGAUUGUAAACCUCUUUUCUCAAGGAAGAAGUUCUGACGGUACUUGAGGAAUCAGCCUCGGCUAACUCCGUGCCAGCGGCCGCGGUAAUACGGGGGAGGCAAGCGUUAUCCGGAAUUAUUGGGCGUAAAGCGUCCGCAGGUGGUCAGCCAAGUCUGCUGUCAAAUCAGGUUGCUUAACGACCUAAAGGCGGUGGAAACUGGCAGACUAGAGAGCAGUAGGGGUAGCAGGAAUUCCCAGUGUAGCGGUGAAAUGCGUAGAGAUUGGGAAGAACAUCGGUGGCGAAAGCGUGCUACUGGGCUGUAUCUGACACUCAGGGACGAAAGCUAGGGGAGCGAAAGGGAUUAGAUACCCCUGUAGUCCUAGCCGUAAACGAUGGAUACUAGGCGUGGCUUGUAUCGACCCGAGCCGUGCCGAAGCUAACGCGUUAAGUAUCCCGCCUGGGGAGUACGCACGCAAGUGUGAAACUCAAAGGAAUUGACGG